rnacentral:lncRNA from 1 species
AUAAAUAGGUUUUUAAAUACUAAGUCUAAARUUAAAUUUAUGGAUUACUUUUUAUCCACUGAUGUUUCUUUCUGCUAGUUGUAGAAAGUAUGUAAAUGGGCAUGCAAUUUAAGGUAUGUGAAUGACUGGAUAUUUACAGCCAUUCUCUUCUGAUUGGUGGGCUGUAGAGCUAGCUGAGAUAGCGCAUAUAUCUUUUUUAGUUUUCUUCUUGUACCAUAAAAAUAAAACUGUAACAUGGUCCCUAAAAUAGUUUUUUCCUUUGGCAUACUCUAGUAACAUUGCAAGUUGGUGAUGAGAUACCAUCACAAAAUUUUGAGUGACACUACCCAUUUUUACUGACAUGCUUUUCUUUAUGUUGGGAUGGCAAUAUUUUAAAAGGGGGUAAGGGACAAUAUGAAAAUUAUUCCUAACUUCCAUACAGACACAUACAUGCACCCCUACAAAAUAAAGUUACCUACUCUUUUUCAAAGAGAAUAAGACACAUACACGUAUAAGAGUCUUUUUAAAAGUUAUGCUGGUGUUCAGUUUUAUGUCUCUUUCAGCACUGCAGAGACAGAUCGUCAGCUGCUAACUCAGCAGAACUUGGCAUGACUGAGAAUGUCAGUGGAGAAAGAAUCCUUCAAUGGCUGAGAAGAAAACUUCUGUAUUGCCAGAAAGAUGCAAAGUAACUCUUCUCAAAGGUACCAGGAGGUUUUAUGGUCAUGUAGGCACACUAGCAGAACAUACUUCUAAGAACUUUCUUGAACAGAUUUGUGAAGUCAGGAUACUGCAAAUAUCAUGUGUCAGAAUUUCAAAGACAACACCCCUCCAAAGGGAACACAAGAAGCUUUCUCUUGACAUCAAGAACAAAGUUUUCGUUUUAGCCAGUGAAGACAUACAUUCUGCUGCACAACUACGGAGCGAGGAAACUGUAUUUUGUAUCACUGGAUAAGCUUCAAAAGAAGCUGCCAAUGAAGGAUUGAGGACAUUUUUUUUGACUCUUCCAGGAAUUUCCUACAGAGAAGCAAAAGCUUUACAUUGAAUAGCUGCAGGUAGAUUCAACUUAACUGUGUUAAAAUCAACAGAACCAAAUACAAUUUUUUAGAGAGAAAUGCGUUGUGUUGUAGUAUUCUUCUGGAUGUGAGUGAAACUUUAUGAUUACAUUAACCUAAUGCCUUUUUCAUCUUUCCAAAUAGAGGGAAAACAGAUCUUCCUAGAAGUUGGAAAUUUAGGAUGUAAAGGAUGUAAAGGAGUUCCCAGAAGGGAAAGAGACAAGAUUGCAGUACUUGAUCACAACAUUUUUAAAGAACAAUUCUUCAGGAAGGCUGAUGUUAAAAGAAAACUGUUCUGCACUCCUACAACCACAUAUUUAUUUAUCACAGAAACUGGUUUCAAAAGGACUUGUAUGACAGAACCUAAAAGGAUACAUCUCUCCUAAAAUAAAUACCAUGGCCUCUUUCCCA